UACGUAGGGUGCAAGCGUUGUCCGGAAUUAUUGGGCGUAAAGAGCUCGUAGGCGGCCUGUCGCGUCUGCUGUGAAAAUCCAGGGCUCAACCCUGGACCUGCAGUGGGUACGGGCAGACUAGAGUGCGGUAGGGGAGAGCGGAAUUCCUGGUGUAGCGGUGAAAUGCGCAGAUAUCAGGAGGAACACCGGUGGCGAAGGCGGAUCUCUGGGCCGUAACUGACGCUGAGGAGCGAAAGCAUGGGGAGCGAACAGG
rnacentral:rRNA from 1 species